rnacentral:rRNA from 1 species
UACGGGGGGGAGCAAGCGUUGUUCGGAUUUACUGGGCGUAAAGGGCGCGUAGGCGGUCGUGACAAGUCACUUGUGAAAUCUCCGGGCUUAACUCGGAACGGUCAAGUGAUACUGUCGGACUAGAGUACAGAAGGGGCAACUGGAAUUCUCGGGUGUAGCGGUGAAAUGCGUAGAUAUCUGGAGGAAUACCGGUGGCGAAGGCGGCAUCCUGGGACCGGCAUUGGACGCUGAGGAGCGAAAGCUAGGGGAGCAA